rnacentral:tRNA from 1 species
GGGCCCGUAGCUCAGCCAGGUAGAGCGCCAGCCUCUUAAGCUGGGUGUCGCGAGUUCGAAUCUCGUCGGGCCCG